rnacentral:rRNA from 1 species
AUUGAACGCUGGCGGCGUGCCUAACACAUGCAAGUCGAGCGGUAACAGGUGUAGCAAUACAUGCUGACGAGCGGCGAACGGGUGAGUAAUGCUUCGGAAUCUACCUUAUGGUGGGGAAUAACUAGCCGAAAGGUUAGCUAAUACCGCAUACGUCCUACGGGAGAAAGCAGGGGAUCGUAAGACCUUGCGCCAAAAGAUGAGCCGAAGUCGGAUUAGCUAGUUGGUAGGGUAACGGCCACCAAGGCGACGAUCCGUAGCUGGUCUGAGAGGACGACCAGCCACACUGGGACUGAGACACGGCCCAGACUCCUACGGGAGGCAGCAGUGGGGAAUAUUGGACAAUGGGGGAAACCCUGAUCCAGCGACGCCGCGUGUGUGAAGAAGGCCUGCGGGUUGUAAAGCACUUUUAGUGGGGAUGAAAUGUGCAGGGUUAACACCUCUGCAUUUUGACCUAACCCACAGAAAAGCACCGGCUAACUCUGUGGCAGCCGCCGCGGGUAAC